rnacentral:rRNA from 1 species
GACGAACGCUGGCGGCGUGCUUAACACAUGCAAGUCGAACGGAAAGGCCCUGCUUUUGUGGGGUGCUCGAGUGGCGAACGGGUGAGUAACACGUGAGUAACCUGCCCUUGACUUUGGGAUAACUUCAGGAAACUGGGGCUAAUACCGGAUAGGAGCUCCUGCUGCAUGGUGGGGGUUGGAAAGUUUCGGCGGUUGGGGAUGGACUCGCGGCUUAUCCGCUUGUUGGUGGGGUAGUGGCUUACCAAGGCUUUGACGGGUAGCCGGCCUGAGAGGGUGACCGGCCACAUUGGGACUGAGAGACGGCCCAGACUCCUACGGGAGGCAGCAGUGGGGAAUAUUGCACAAUGGGCGGAAGCCUGAGGCAGCAACGCCGCGUGCGGGAUGACGGCCUUCGGGUUGUAAACCGCUUUCGCCUGUGACGAAGCGUGAGUGACGGUAAUGGGUAAAGAAGCACCGGCUAACUACGUG